rnacentral:lncRNA from 1 species
GGGGACCUCAGGUUUGUGCUUCUUCUUCUCAGCAGCUUUGGUCAGUGAGUAGCGGAAUUUGAACGGACUGUAGGAUUCUACAACUGACAAUUGUCCUUUGAUGUCACCACAGUGAUGACAGCACAUCAAAGGACAAAUUCAUUGACACCGCCUACAACGUAAACCUUUACAUGAGAAAUGACUUUUCCAGGAGAAGAAAGUAUUAGUAUACCCUUAUUGUCACAACAUAUAUGUUUUUCUUCAAGUUUUUAGGGACCCGAGCCAUAGCCUGCAAGGCUGGCGAGAGCCCUAUUGUUUUUUUUGUUCCCAAUGAAUCCCUAAUUAGAGGUGCUAAAAAAUGAGUAAAAUCAUGAACAACAAAAAUGAGAGACACAAGCUUUCUGCCUCUUUAAAUUCAUUCCGCUUGAUUUGCUCAUUCAGAGUCCAUAUUAAUUAAACUCAAUAUCAAGUUUUUGCUGCUCCCACGUUUCUCUUUACAGCAAGAAACAGAGGCCGCUCUCCCACUUAGGCCUUGCCAGGUAUGUGGUCAUCGUUUAGGCAAUAAAAGCAGUUGCUUAUGUCACGAGGGUGGCUUUGAACUCCCAACCUCUGGCAUGAAAAACAGACGCGCUAUACCGAAGGAGCUGAACUCAAAUGAUCUUAAGUAACAGUUGCUACCAGAUAUUUUAAGGUGCACGAGAAUACAGGAAAUGGCAUCUACACUGGAAAAAUAUUUUUUUGCUUCUGACGUAUUUAACUUUCAAAUCCCAUUUAAAAUUCUUCAAAAUAUUCAACUUUGUUUGACAUAAAUUCUUUCACACAAUGUGUCUAUGGGUGCAAAUCGAUUUUGAUGACACUUUUGGUACUACAAACUCCGAGUGAAAGGAGUUUCAACCAACUGCUGCACCAUACCAUAAUUUUAAGCAGGUUUAAAUGAGGGAAUCUGAAGAGUCAAUUACAAAAUCAAAUCAACCAGGAGAUGGACAUGUCCCCCAACAGAAUGCAGCAAAACAGUUGUGUCUGUCUGUAUUUAUCCAUUUGGCCACAAUUCAGGCGAAUCCCUAAAUGCGGUGACCUCAGCCAUGGCACAGACGGAUUGAUCUACGGCGAUCAAAUGGUUGAAAAGCAGCACAGUAAACACAUCGGAUGGAGACUGAUCAAUCUCUGCUGCUCUGAGACUCUGUGUUUGACCGUGACCACAGACGGAGAGGCGACGUAAAUAAACAGUGGCUGUGUGAACUCAGUCUUUUUUUAUUUAAAGCUCAGCAGACAGAAUGAUAAAUCACUCCUUUGUCAACUGCUAGGGAAAGCUAUGGAUCAUGCAGGACACUGCAGGGUGCUGGCUGGAUUCAUAAGUCUCUUAUUAUCUGUUAACAUUGUCAUGUUAUAUCAAAAAUGUUAUAUUGGGGGGAGGGGCAUAAUGAAGGGACUGUCAACCCCUCAUAACAGUCUUGAACGUGACAUAUGAAAAAAUCGCCUUUUCAGUGUUUGUGCAUAUAAAUGUGUGUAUCUGUGGAGCCUGCCGGCCCACAAACUGUGAAAAAUGACCACCCUGUUGUUUUUUUAUGAGCUGGCUAAACCCUACAGCCUGGCUCUGAAUGACUGGUUCAGAUUACUCUCCCACUGUGAUGUCACAGUCAAACUCUUUUGAGGUAACCCCGCCUGCAAUCUGAGAAUCUCAGAUUUUCUGGUGAAGGGGCGUGACAUUUCUGUUUUCAUGUUUUGAAAUCGGUUGACCAAUCAUACCAGACUGGGCCAGCUGGCCAAUCAGAGCAGACUGGGGUUUAUUGGGAGGGGCGGGGCUAAAUGAAAUCCAGGCAUUUCAGACAGAGGGUCAAAAGAGGAGCUGCAGGAAUGGGCAGUAUGAGAACAUUGAUGCCUUUUCUGAACAUUAGAGUAUGUAAACCUUUUCAAGUGGUAACACAUUAAAAGUAUGAACCUGAAUAUGAACAUAAUAUGUCUCCUUUAAUUCAGUUACAGAGUUGCAGUAGGCACGAUGAGUCAAAGGCAGACACGAGAGCCUGUCACCAUCACUGUUAAUAGAACAUGUGAACUGGCUUGCAUGAAGGUCCUUCAGCAGUGUGUGUAUGUCUGGUUUGUCAAAAUUUACAUUUGUUCUUUUAUCUUCCUGAUCAGAGCCACAAAAUGGCAGACCUGCCAACCUAUAUUGCGAAGCAGGUACGCAUUUUGACAUCAGAGUGCACUGUAAUGUCACUGUAAAGUAUGCAAAACACUUUUGAUGCCUUGUGAGUUGUGCAGUACUAAAGUCUGCGAGAAAAAUAAGAGUUUGAUCAAUAAUAGCUUCAAAUUAUUUCCCCAUGGCUUUCACCAACGUACAAAAACAAUAUUCACAAGCAGAGAUGAUUGACAAAUGUCCAAUGUAAUUUCAAGAGACAGGAGCUUCGAUGUGCAAAGAGACGGUAACAAUUUUUUUUUAACCUUGAUUUUAUAUCUCUAGUUCCAACUCUGUAAGUGUUACGUAUAGCUUUCCAUACCUUUUCUCUAUAGCUGCUUUCAGACAAGCAUUGAUAUUUUCCUGAAAUUUUCCGGAGGGGUUUUGUGUGAAAACACAAAAGUUGCUACGGAUACUUUACGAAACUUUUCCUGCCAGGCCCCUGAUUCAAUUUCCAGUAAAUGUCAGAGUGAGCCCAUGUGAGAAUACAGAAGGAAAAUCUGGGAGAAUUCACAGUGGGCUAGUGAGCGUGUUGAUGACUGUAAACAUAAACUCUGCAUUCCACAAUGGAGUUAUGGUCAUGUCCCGCCUCCUGCUGCUCUACCCAGAUGACACAGAAUGUUCCGGAAAUGUCUGACUCGGACAAUCUCCAGCUGCGUUCAUCAUAGGUCAAAGGGAAACUUCGGAAACAACCUGGACCCCAUUAUUUUGGAUAUUUUCCAGAGAUCAUGUCUGCAAAACAGCUUAUGCAGGCUUUCUUGUUCACCAGUCAUUGGCAAAGUAUAUGACUUUUCACAGUAUUCAUAGUAUUAUAGGUUGCAGCCAUACUCUCAUAAUAACAGGAGCAGAUCAUAUCAUUAACAUAAAACUGUUGGUGUUACUGAGGACCACUGGUGCUGCUCUAUAGGUAUAGGUUGCUCACAGCAAAUAUUUAUUUAGAUUAGGCUUUUUCUUUGGUGCAUGUUUUAUGAAGUUAAGUUUUUAUCAUCCUUUUACAUUAACUUUGUAUACAUUUUUGCAUAAACGCUGACCCCCUAAUGUCAUAAUGUGUAAAUUGAAACUUAAAAAGAAAGCUCAUCUAAUUUUGCAGUUAAGUGUUUUUUGCAUCUUUCAGCUUAUGCAAAAUGCCUGUUUUGGUUGACUCUCAUCAGCAUCAUUUCUAUAUGCGGCUGAUAUUUCUUUUAAGAUUGGACAUUUGUGCAGACACACACCUCCAAAUGAAUGAUAAUGUGUCAGCUGCAUGUGUAAACGACUGCUUCAGCGUGGCAGAGGUCGAAAGUCCCUCUCCCUGUAAUAUGUAUUUUUCUUCAUGUGAUUAUACGGUAUAAGCAGAAGCAUAACUGUGAACUCUUAACAGACGAUAAUAGUUAUAUGGUUCUUACUAUAUCUUUCUUCGCUCACAGUAUGUUGAAUUGAAAAGAAUCCAUUUUUCAAAUCAGCAGGAUCUGAAGUUAUUGACUGCAUCAUAAUAAUAUAUAGGUGUUGGACAUUAUCAUAGCUGACGCAGAGAGGUCUUAUCUCAGCACGUUAGGUUUCUCACAACAUGUACCCACCAAAGACAAACACAUGACACCGCAUACACAUGUCUGUGUGUGUGUACAGCACACAGAUGUGUAUGCGGUGUGUGUCAUGUGUAUGUGUGAUUGAAAUGAACAGUUUAUGUACCACCUGGAAGGUCAGGCUGGGGCUAUUUUGACGCCACAGCAACCGUUGUGUCUAUUUCCCCUUCGAUGAAUUUUAAUCACCCCCGCACCAACGUAAUCGAUAAGCCAUUUCAUGGUAUCUACACUAAC